UCGGGUUGUGUUUUUGGUGGUUUAAAGAUUGGGAUAUCAAUUAUGUAUUCUGCUGAGAGACGGAACAAUGGGAUCUGAGAGAUUGAAUCUUCUCCACAAUGUCAAGUUGAAUCUGCCAUGUUUGAAGUGUUUUUUUUUUCUUUUUUUUUUGGGGGGGGGGUGGUCAAUGGCUAAAUCGGCUCCUUUGGUAGUUGAAGAAUAAAUUAAAUCUUCGCUGAAAUAAUGGGUGGGUUUUCAUGGAGGGGUUUUCUGAGCUUUUUUUUUUUCUUUUUUGCUGUUGAAAAGUAAAUUGAAGCUUUGUACGAUGGGUGGGUUUUUUAGGAAGGUUUUUAUGAGUUCUUGAGAAUAAUCUAAAAUUUUAACUUGGAAGUACUGAAAUUUAAUAUGAUUCCAGCGAAGUUAAUUGACGGGUUUCAAUUUUUUAUUCUAAGUUUAUAGUUUGCACUAAAUAUGAUUCCAUCCAGAAUCAUUUCAAAUCCAAAUAUCCAUCUGUUUCUUUUUUUCUUUUUCUUACUUACUCUUCGAUUUCGUUCUUUCAAAUCCAUAGCAGUUAUGUUACUCAAUGAGGUGAACAAAGGGGAAAAAUGAUGGUUGGGUGGUGGAGAAUGAGGUAAGGAUGGGGAGAGUUCUCUGUUUCUUGAGAAAGUUCCUUUAUGGAGUUCUUCUAAUAGGGUGUCUACGUUUUAUGAGUUGUUUAACUGAUACUUUUG
rnacentral:lncRNA from 1 species